rnacentral:rRNA from 1 species
AGCCGCGGUAAUUCCAGCUCUCAAAAUGCAUAGAAUAUUUGCUGCGGUUAAAAAGCUCGUAGUUGGAUCUGUGCCAGCAUGCCGGUCCAUCUUCGGAUGCGUACUGGUUCAUUGCCGGCUUUCCUGCAGUUUUGUCCGGCUCUGUGCCCUUCACUGGGCGCGGUUGUUCGGUGCUGCAAGUUUACUUUGAACAAAUCAGAGUGCUCUAAACAGGCGUUUCGCUUGAAUGUUCGUGCAUGGAAUAAUAGAAGAGGAUUUCGGUUCUAUUUUAUUGGUUUUAUAGACUGAGAUAAUGGUUAACAGAGACAAACGGGGGCAUUCGUAUUGCUACGUGAGAGGUGAAAUUCUUGGACCGUAGCAAGACGAACUACAGCGAAAGCAUUUGCCAAGAAUGUCUUCAUUAAUCAAGAACGAAAGUCAGAGGUUCGAAGGCGAUCAGAUACCGCCCUAGUUCUAACCGUAAA